AUUGACCGCUGGCGGCAGGCCUAACACAUGCAAGUCGGACGGUAGCACAGAGGAGCUUGCUCCUCGGGUGACGAGUGGCGGACGGGUGAGUAAUGUCUGGGGAUCUGCCCGAUAGAGGGGGACAACCACUGGAAACGGUGGCUAAUACCGCAUAACGUCGCAAGACCAAAGAGGGGGACCUUCGGGCCUCUCACUAUCGGAUGAACCCAGAUGGGAUUAGCUAGUAGGCGGGGUAACGGCCCACCUAGGCGACGAUCCCUAGCUGGUCUGAGAGGAUGACCAGCCACACUGGAACUGAGACACGGUCCAGACUCCUACGGGAGGCAGCAGUGGGGAAUAUUGCACAAUGGGCGCAAGCCUGAUGCAGCCAUGCCGCGUGUAUGAAGAAGGCCUUCGGGUUGUAAAGUACUUUCAGCGGGGAGGAAGGCGAUGUGGUUAAUAACCGCAUUGAUUGACGUUACCCGCAGAAGAAGCACCGGCUAACUCCGUGCCAGCCGCCGCGGUAA
rnacentral:rRNA from 1 species